UAAACUUUAAGUUAUAAAAACUAAGGGCCUUCAAAGCCCUCAUAGAGCUAGCUCAAGUUUAA
rnacentral:tRNA from 1 species